rnacentral:rRNA from 1 species
UACAGAGGGUGCAAGCGUUAAUCGGAAUUACUGGGCGUAAAGCGUGCGUAGACGGUUAUUUAAGUCAGGUGUGAAAGCCCCGGGCUCAACCCUGGGAAUUGCAUUUGAGACUGAAUAGCUAGGGUGCGGAAGAGGGAAGCGGAAUUUCCGGUGUAGCGGUGAAAUGACGUAGAUAUCGGAAGGAACACCAGUGGCGAAAGCGGCUUCCUGGUCCAGCACCGACGUUCAGGCACGAAAGCGUGGGGAGCAAACAGGA